rnacentral:rRNA from 1 species
UACGUAGGGACCGAGCGUUGUCCGGAUUCAUUGGGCGUAAAGAGCUCGUAGGCGGCUGCUCAAGUCGAAUGUGAAACCUCGAGGCUUAACCUCGAGCCUGCAUUCGAUACUGGGCGGCUAGAGUCUGGUAGGGGGAUCUGGAAUUCCUGGUGUAGCGGUGGAAUGCGCAGAUAUCAGGAGGAACACCGGUGACGAAGGCGGAUCUCUGGGCCUUACCUGACGCUGAGGCGCGAAAGCUAGGGGAGCGAACAGG